rnacentral:rRNA from 1 species
UAGUAUGAAUGGCACCACGAAGGUUAUACUGUCUCCUUUCUUUAAUCAGUGAAACUAAUCUCCCCGUGAAGAAGCGGGGAUGUAACUAUAAGACGAGAAGACCCUAUGGAGCUUUAAACAUAAGUAACAAUUGCCCACCACAACAUCAAUCCACGGAUAUUAACCACAACAUUUAGGCAUCUUGAUUACAAGUUUUAGGUUGGGGUGACCGCGGAGCAAAAAAUAACCUCCGCAGUGAAUGGAACUUAUUUCCUAAACCCAGGGCUACGACCCUAAGAAUCAAUAAAUUGACACUAAUUGACCCAAUAUUUUGAUCAAUGAACCAAGUUACCCUAGGGAUAACAGCGCAAUCCACUUCAAGAGCCCCUAUCGACAAGUGG